rnacentral:lncRNA from 1 species
UCAAAAGAACUAAUAAUAAAUCAAUAGACAUUAUUAUCUAGACACAAUAUUAUUGUGAUCCAAAGGUAUCAAAGCUAAUCUAAGUCAGAGACAACACUAAAUUGAGAUUCCAACUACAUCUGAAAACAUGCUGCUAAUUCAACUGCCAAGUCAUGAUCCUUCUGCGCUAUCACCUUAUGAGUUGAAUGACCACAUGUGACAUGAGAGCUGAAAAAUUAGAAAUCAUUGUUUCAAAAUUAUGAAUAGGAUGUCAUAAUGGUAUCCAAGAGAGUAACAACAUAUAAAUGAAAUAAGACUACGAGAGAGAUCUGUUGAUCUGUUUUAAUAACCGUGCUGAUAAGUCAAGAUGCCACUUUCUGUUAGAUUACCUGAAAUUCUGAUUUUAGUAGAUAUUUGCAUCUAUUUAGAUUUGAUGUCUCAAUUUAUUAUGAUAGUUAAGAAUUGAUGAAAGACUACUAUUUCAAAUACUCUAUAUAGUGUUGUUAUGAUUGAUGAGAUAGUGCCGUUUUGUUUCUAUGAGAUUUUUUCCUUUGUUG